rnacentral:rRNA from 1 species
GCCUAAUACAUGCAAGUCGAGCGAACGGACGAGAAGCUUGCUUCUCUGAUGUUAGCGGCGGACGGGUGAGUAACACGUGGAUAACCUACCUAUAAGACUGGGAUAACUUCGGGAAACCGGAGCUAAUACCGGAUAAUAUUUUGAACCGCAUGGUUCAAAAGUGAAAGACGGUCUUGCUGUCACUUAUAGAUGGAUCCGCGCUGCAUUAGCUAGUUGGUAAGGUAACGGCUUACCAAGGCAACGAUGCAUAGCCGACCUGAGAGGGUGAUCGGCCACACUGGAACUGAGACACGGUCCAGACUCCUACGGGAGGCAGCAGUAGGGAAUCUUCCGCAAUGGGCGAAAGCCUGACGGAGCAACGCCGCGUGAGUGAUGAAGGUCUUCGGAUCGUAAAACUCUGUUAUUAGGGAAGAACAUAUGUGUAAGUAACUGUGCACAUCUUGACGGUACCUAAUCAGAAAGCCACGGCUAACUACGUGCCAGCAGCCGCGGUAAUACGUAGGUGGCAAGCGUUAUCCGGAAUUAUUGGGCGUAAAGCGCGCGUAGGCGGUUUUUUAAGUCUGAUGUGAAAGCCCACGGCUCAACCGUGGAGGGUCAUUGGAAACUGGAAAACUUGAGUGCAGAAGAGGAAAGUGGAAUUCCAUGUGUAGCGGUGAAAUGCGCAGAGAUAUGGAGGAACACCAGUGGCGAAGGCGACUUUCUGGUCUGUAACUGACGCUGAUGUGCGAAAGCGUGGGGAUCAAACAGGAUUAGAUACCCUGGUAGUCCACGCCGUAAACGAUGAGUGCUAAGUGUUAGGGGGUUUCCGCCCCUUAGUGCUGCAGCU